GCAAAGUAAACAUAUGUGCGUUAAGUGUUUGGUGAACGGGGAGUUGUCACCAGAACGAAGGAAAAUCCGCGGUACAUAUGUUGCAUCCCGUUG
rnacentral:ncRNA from 1 species